CAGACGCUAUUUUCUCCCACUUGUUCUUUCAUUUCUUUUGUUGUUUCCUCACCAAGCUUUCGGAACAAUUGAAUCCUCUUAUAAUCAUCCAAGAGUACAGGUUCGAGUGGCUUUAUAAAGUAAACAAGCAAGGAUCUCUACUUCAUUAAGCAUACCAGGUUGAGUAGCUGCCGAUGGUGAUGAGGUGACGAGCGGGACUCUUUUGUCUUAUUAUGUAUUAAUGAACUCUAGGGAUACAUGUCUUCAUACAUGUGAUCAGAACCUUAUUCCGCUGCGUACUCAGAAGUUUUAUGUUAUUUUGGCUAAGUCGGAAUUAUCCGAACUUACUAGUUAUUUGAGUCUAUACGACUAAACCUCCGUUAUAUUAUAAAUAUCUCUUUUGUUAACAAUGAUGAAA